GCCAUGGCGUUAGUAUGAGUGUCGCGCAGCCUCCAGGACCCCCCCUCCAGGGAGAGCCAUAGUGGUCUGCGGAGCCGGUGAGUACACCGGAAUUGCCAGGAUGACCGGGUCCUUUCUUGGAUCAACCCGCUCAAUGCCUGGAGAUUUGGGCGUGCCCCCGCGAGACUGCUAGCCGAGUAGUGUUGGGUCGCGAAAGGCCUUGUGGUACUGCCUGAUAGGGUGCUUGC
rnacentral:other from 17 species